rnacentral:rRNA from 1 species
CUACGGGAGGCUGCAGUGGGGAAUAUUGGACAAUGGGGGAAACCCUGAUCCAGCAAUGCCGCGUGUGUGAAGAAGGCCUGCGGGUUGUAAAGCACUUUCGGUUGGGAGGACUGCUUCUAGCACUAAUAUUGUUGGAAGUUGACGUUACCUUCAGAAGAAGCACCGGCUAACUCCGUGCCAGCAGCCGCGGUAAUACGGAGGGUGCAAGCGUUAAUCGGAAUUACUGGGCGUAAAGCGCGCGUAGGCGGCUAGAUCAGUCGGGUGUGAAAGCCCCGGGCCUAACCUGGGAACUGCAUCCGAUACUGUCUGGCUUGAGUACAGGAGAGGAGAGUGGAAUUCCACAUGUAGCAGUGAAAUGCGUAGAUAUGUGGAGGAACACCAAUGGCGAAGGCAGCUCUCUGGCCUGAUACUGACGCUGAUGUGCGAAAGCGUGGGGAGCAAACAGGAUUAGAUACCCGCGUAGUC